ensembl:lncRNA
GCUGCACACAGCUGAAAUCUUCUGUUUCCUGUGCACUCUUAAAGUACUGGUUUUCUCCUCAGGGGUUUUAAGGUGAUCUACACCGUGCUGAGACACAACAGGACUCGUGUGCAGUGGUAGAUCCUCUUGCGGCAUGCCAUCCACCUGGACGAUGUGGCCAAGAAGGAGAACAGCUCCACCCACCAAUUCGUCCACAGCUUCCCGUUGUCAGAGCCAGCCGGCUGGCUCAGCAGAUACAUCUACAUCCCGACUGUAGGUGGGUGUAAUCAGAUUCCUGCUGUGAUCACCUGCACAGGUGUCCUGCUACAGUUUUCCUUUGGGUGCUAGUGGCAGUGACAUCGAAGAGUAAACACCGCCCCGUGUGUGUGUGUGUGUCACAGAGUAGUACUAGGAGUGCCUCCUGAAGCCCUGGUUUUACCGCCUCCUCUCCGUCGUCCUCACUCUGUUCAGCGUGGCUGUGGUUUGGUCCAAGUGCACCUUCUUCAGCCCGUCCUCUCGCUGAUUGUCAUCCAGUUGGCUGAGAGAGGCUACAACUACCAGUACAUCGAGGCUGUCCUGUCGUCUCACUCCUCCCCUGUUUGAUCCACAUGGACUCGGCCAUCUCCCACCACAACAAGCUGCAGACUGCUCACACCUCUCAGGACAACAACCCCAAACACACAGCCAAAGUCAUUAGGAACUAUCU